CUCUCUCGCUGCAUUAUGUUUUUCUCCCCGCGUUUCCCCUUCGCUUGCGGUUGGAGAGAGAGCAGCAAAAGCAGACGCAGAUGCUUUACGAUCUGCUUUCAUUUCUUGCAGAGUUGUCUUAAUUAAUUUCCAUAAAGUUGCAAGACCUUUAACUUCUUUAGACCCGUCACUAAUUUCAUCCCAUAGGGAGGUUCCGAUAGCUUCCCGGGUACUAAGCUCAAAAGUUGUACCCACACUAAUUAAAAGGUUUCUGUCCUUGUUCCAUUAGUUUUUCAUGCUGAUUUAUCAU